GGGCUGGUAGUUCAGUGGUAGAAUGUCCGCCUUGCACGCGGAAGGUCGGGGGUUCAAGUCCCCCCCAGUCCA
rnacentral:tRNA from 1 species